ACAAAACCGUAGAUGGGCCUGGAGCACAAGUCCUAUGAGGAGCGGCUGAGGGAGCAGGGGUUAUUUAGUCUGGAGAACAAGAGGCUCAGGGGAGAUCUUAUUGCUCUCUACAAUUACCUAAAAGGAAGCUGUUGGGAGCUGGGGGUCGGCCUCUAACCACACGUAACUAGCGAUAGGACAAGAGGGAAUGGCCUC